CUUGCUCCAUGGCUGCUGCUGUCCCUGUGGUUGGCGUGCUCCGGUUAGCAUUCGGGAAAAAUUAAUGAUUAAACUGCUUCAUAACCCAAACAAACCCAGCCGAUUGAACCUACCUCAUCUCCGUGAAUAUCCACUCAGCGGGAAAAAGAGGACUUAAUGUACGUUGUAUUGGAGAAGGAAUCCUCUCCCGGGACCCAGCGCUGACCCCCCACCUUAUCCUCAGCCACCGCAACAACCGCACACCAGCUCUGCUCCCUCUGCACCCCCUCCCUCUCCUGAGCCUGCCGCUGCCUCCUCUCCUACCACCCCAACACAACAGACAUCACUAUUCUUUCUGGCUGUCAAAUUCCACGGGAAGAGGACGCCUCAACAAUAAGUUGGAUGUGUCCCCAAAGAGGAGGAACAGUCUCCACUCUUCCUCCUCCUCCCAUGCCAUGCCUGUUCCAUCCUUGAGGAGGGUUCUCAGCCUCCUAAGAAAGGGGGUGAGCGCCGGACAGUCCAGGAACAUGUGCUCUAUGGUUUCCUCCGCUGCUCCGCAGAUAGCACAGCCCCUGGCAAAGACCUCCUUAUUUAUCUGAUGCAGCACGAUCCCAGGGUCUGUCUUUCUGUGUCUUUGUCUAAAGUCGGUGUUAUAGACAUUGCCAGGGGCUGUGCUCCUCCUUAGGGUGGCCCAGAUACGUUCUCCCCGCAGGCCGGGGAAGGCCCUCCCCCAUGCCCGGUCAGCUGCUGGGGCUCUCCGUCUACCGUGGACAAACAUCUGGUAGAGGGCCUUCGUCUUGAUGUCACUAAGGUUGGCUCCGGCCUGCGGGAGAGAGAACUCGCACACAUUCCCGUUAGUUGGUGCUGGCUGCCUCUUCUCCCCCAGUAGCUUAAGCCACCGCUGAGGGAUGGAGGCAGCCAGCUUAGCACACACCUCCUGGAUUGCACCUUUCCUGUGCCUCACCCCCUUCUUCCUCAGAAUGGUCAGGAUCUCCGCAGCAUCGAGGCCACCGGCUUGGGUGACAACGUCCCCCAGCCUGACUAAACCAGCCCUCUCCAUCACGGCGCAGACCACCUCCUUCCCUCCCCAGGUAAUCUCUGGGUUAUUGAAGAGGGGCUGCGCCCUCGCCUGGAGGACGUUGUCCACCCUAGCCUCCAGCAGAGGCCUCAACCCAGCCCACGCUGUCAUGAUCUCCUCCGCCAGAGAGUCGGUCACCCCCGCGCUCACGGAGGAGCGCCUCCGGCAGAGUGCCCAGAGGCCCAAAGGCGGCCCGAGAUGCAGGUCCUGCAUGAGAAAGUGUUUCCAUAUGAAGCUGUUGCUGUCGGGUGUUAUGAUUUUUUUGACCAGUUUGACUCUUGGUGCGUGUUUUCUGCAGUCUAAGCUGACUAGCCUCAGGCCGCCUUUGUCCUCCGGCUGGAUCAUGACAUCGUGGGCUACCUGGUUCAUCUUUGACCCCCACAGGAAGCUGCCGAUGACCUCGUUGAUGUUCUUUUCCCGCUGCGGAGACAGGGGACAGACAGCCAGCACAUGGUUCACCAAAGAGAGCACUAAUCGCCAGUAG
ensembl:lncRNA